rnacentral:rRNA from 1 species
GAAGUUCGAUCUGGCUCAGGAUGAACGCUGGCAUCUUAACGCCAAGUCGGGCCGGGAAGUAUGGUGUUUCAGUGGCGGACGGGUGAUGACGCGUAGAACUGCCGCUGGAGACAGCAGCUGAAACGGCUGCUACAAUGCCCAUGGGCUGGGAGCAAAGGAGGUCCGCCGAGGGAGAAUAUCGUUAGCUGGUUGGUGGGCAAUAGCUUGCAAGGCGAUGAUCAGUAAGCUGGUCAGGAUGAUCAACACACUGGACUGGGGCCUGGCGAACUCCUGGGGCAGCGGUGGGAUUUUCCGCAAUGGGCGAAAGCGACGAACAAUGCCGCGUGGAGGUGAAGGCUACGGGUCUGAACGCCACUUUCCCAGAGAAAGCAAUGGCGUGUCUGGGGUCGCGUCGGCUAACUACUGGCCAGCAGCGCGGCAAUACAGAGGAUGGCGUAUCCGGAAUGAUUGGGCGUAAAGCGUCCUGGCAGGUGGCUUUAAGUCGCGAUAAAUCCCAGGGCUUCGCCCUGGACGGGCGAUGAAACUGCAAGCUUAUGGUACGAGGUGGUGGAGAUUUCCGGUGGGAGCGGUGAAUGGCAAAGUGGAAGAACACCAACUGGCAGCACUCUGCUGGGCCGACGCGACACUGAGACAGCUAGGGGCGAAUGGGAUUAGAUACCCCAGUGGUCCUGGCCGUAAACGAUGGAUACUGGGCGGGCUGUGCGUAUCGACCCGUGCAGUGCAGCAUUAACGCGUUGAUAUCCACCUGGAGUACGUUCGCAAGAAUGAAACUCGAAAGGUGAUGAGGCCCACUAAGCGGUGGAGCAUGGUUAAUUCAGUAGUGAACCUGCCAAGGCUUGAUGCCGAAUCCUCUUUGAAGAGGGUACCUUGGGGCGCAGACACAGGUGGUGCAUGGCUGUCGUCAGCUCGAUGCCGUAAGGUGGUGGGUUAAGUCCCGCAACCUACCAACCCAGGCACCAACUUCUGUGUUUAGUUGCCACCGUUAGGGUUGGAACUGAACAAGGCUACCGGUGAUAAAGCCGGAAGGUGAGACGUCAGGCCAUCAUGCCCCUUAUGCCCUGGGCGACACACGUGCUACAUGUGGGACAAAGGUCGCGAUCCCGCGGUGGCUAACUCAAGCAAUCUCGGUUUGGAUUGCGGGCUGCAACUCUAUGCAUGAAGCCGGAAUCGCUAAUAAUCGCCGGUCAGCCAUACGACGUGUUCGUUCCCGGGCCUUGUACACACCGCCCGUCACACUAUGAGGAGCUGGCCAUGCCCGAAGUCGUUACCUUAACCGCAGGAGAGUGCCGAGCGGACGUAUUGACAGGUGAAAUCGUAACAGUAGCCGUACGGAAGGGUGCGGCUG